GCCCGGCUGGCUCAGUCGGUAGAGCAUGCGACUCUUGAUCUCAGGGUUGUGAGUUUGAGCCCCACAGUGGGUG
rnacentral:tRNA from 1 species